UCUCUAUGAUGAUCAAAGGUUCUCAAUAAUCAGUUCUGCUUCUGAUCUCCCUUGAAGAAAGCAUUACCAAAGCUUACCAAUUUGUCUGAUCU
rnacentral:snoRNA from 1 species